rnacentral:rRNA from 1 species
CCGCCCUUUUUGGGUUUAAGUUAGACGGGGACAAUGUUCAAUUUGAACUUGAAAAGGGCGGGAUUAUACAGCAUGGAAAAGACCCGAAACCGCGUGAGCUAGCCAUGGCCAGGAUGAAGUCCCGCGAAAGCGGUAUGGAGGUCCGAACCCGUGUCAGUUGCAAGUGGCUGGGAUGAGCUGUGGUUAGGGGUGAUAUGCCAAUCGAACGCGGAGAUAGCUGGUUCUCCCCGAAAUAUAUUUAGGUAUAGCCCCCGUCAAAGUUCCUAGGGGUAGAGCACUGAAUAGUCUGUGCGCAGCAAUGUGUGCUGAUUAAUCAAACUUCGAAUACUGGGAAAUAAUCUAGGCGGGGAGUCAGUCCGACCCGGAUAAGCGGGCCAGGGCUAAAGGGAAACAUCCCAGAUCCAAAGCUAAGGUCCCGAAGUGUAUUUUAAGUGUGCAAGGUAGUAUUGACGUUUAGACAGCAAGGAGGUUGGCUUAGAGGCAGCCAUCCUUUAAAGAAAGCGUAACAGCUCACUUGUCUAAGUUCCGGAGAUCGGAAUUCAGAUGUCGGAUCUCGGACGUGAUAGUCUGAUUUCUGAUAUCCGACAUCCGACCUCCGGAACAGGCGGCAGUGCGCCGACAAUGUAACGGGGCUAAAAAUACCACCGAAGCUUGGGGUUCGCAUGCGUAGCAUGCGAUUACGAAUGGAUGCGAAUGCUAGAUUAAUGCGAAUGAAUGCGAAUGUGCUUCGAUUUAAUAUCUCAUUGUUGAUAUUUUAGAUUAUUGAUGCAUUCGAAUAAAUUCGCAUAUAAAAAGUAUUUGCAAAAAUUAGUAGUCGCCUGCUGCGCAGGCGAGCGGUAGGGGAGCGUUCGCAUAUGCGGUGAAGGCCACGGCGUAAGCCGGACUGGAGCGGUGCGAAGUGAGAAUGCCGGUAUGAGUAGCGAAACCCCGGUUGGAAUCCGGGGCGCCGAAUGUCCAAGGUUUCCUACGCAACGUUCGUCGACGUAGGGUUAGUCGGUCCUAAGGCGAGGCCAGAAGGCGUAGUCGAUGGACAAGCCGUUAAUAUUCGGCUACUUUGACAAAAUCGUUUUAAAGCAAAGGGAAGACGAAGAUGGAAGACUUCUGGGUCGAAAUGAUACGGCCCCUAAAAAGCAAGGAAGUGAAAAGUGGAAAAUCCCUUUUUAUGAUUAUUCGAGCUUUGAUAGCAAUCUGGCUCGCGCUGGAGAGAGAAACUGUUUCAACUUCCAAGAAAUUUUCUCGUUGUUAUGUUUUUGUCAAAACCGUACCUAAACCGACACAGGUGGACUGGUAUUAGUGUACCAAGGCGAGCGAGAGAACCUUCCUUAAGGAACUCGGCAAUAUAACUGGACGUACCUUUGGUAGAUGUCCUCCCAGGUACCAAACGGUACCUGGGCGCAGUUAACGAUGCCAAGCGACUGUUUAACAAAAACACAGGUCCCUGCUUAAGUUGAAAAACGAUGUAUAGGGGCUGACGCCUGCCCAGUGCUCGUAGGUUAAAUGCCGUAGGUGAUCCCCGCCCUUUUUGGGCUUUAGAUUUUCGUUUGUUACUAAACUAACGAAAUUUCAUUUUGAGUAAAUUUUUAAGUCUAGAGCUUGAAAAGGACGGGGUGAGCUUGUGGUAUAAGCCCGGGUAAACGGCAGCAGUAACUAUAACUGUUCUAAGGUAGCGAAAUUCCUUGUCGGGUAAGUUCCGACCCGCACAAAAGGCUGAACGACUUGGCAACUGUCUUGAGGAAGGACUCGGCGAAAUUGCAAUGGCUGUGAAGAUGCGGCCAACUUGCACCAGGACAAAAAGACCCCGUGGAGCUUUACUGCAGCUUGACUUUGUUUCAACUAUUGGAACUGUAUAGCGUAGGAGGGAGUCAGGUACCAUUCGGUACCUGACAACAAUGUAACACCUCUCUUUUCGAUGGCUGGAACUUACCGUUUGUCCUAAUAAAAUACGGGAGACGGGACAGUGUCUGGUGGGCAGUUUGACUGGGGCGGUCGCCUCCUAAAAGGUAACGGAGGCGUACAAAGGUCGACUCAAGUCCUACAGAAACGGACUUUAAGAGUGCAAAGGCAUAAGUCGGCUUGACUGCGAGUGGUACAUCACAAGCAGGUGCGAAAGCAGGUCUUAGUGAUCCUCACGUGGCUUAUGGGAGCGCGUGAGCUUAACGGAUAAAAGCUACCCCGGGGAUAACAGGCUUAUCUUCCCCAAGAGUCCAUAUCGACGGGAAGGUUUGGCACCUCGAUGUCGGCUCACCGUAUCCUCCUGCUGAAGUAGGCGGGAAGGGUUGGGCUGUUCGCCCAUUAAAACGGUACGCGAGCUGGGUUCAGAACGUCGUGAGACAGUUCGGCCUCUAUCCGGUGCAAGCGUUUGAUAUUUGAGGGGGGUCGCCACUAGUACGAGAGGACCGUGGUGAGCGAACCUCUAGUGUGCCAGUUGUCACAUCAGUGGCAGUGCUGGGUAGCUACGUUCGUAACUGAGAAGCGCUGAAAGCAUCUAAGCGCCAAACAGGCCCCAAGACUAGAUAUCGUUAAGAUCCGUUGUAGACUACGACGUUGAUAGGCGGCAAGUGUAAAGGCAGUAAUGUUUGUCCACGCUUUGCGUGGGUACGAAUGAAUGCGAAU